rnacentral:tRNA from 1 species
GCAUCUGUGGCGGAAUUGGUAGACGCGCCAGACUCAAAAUCUGGUGAGCUUUAAACUCGUGCCGGUUCGAUUCCGGCCAGAUGUA